CCCCUAGACGUUCUGGGCUGCACGCGCGCUACAAUAAUACGCACAGCGAGUAUCACCGAGCUCGAAAGGGCAAGGUAAACAAUAGAAAAGGUACUGUAAUGGUUAUAGAUCCUUGUAAUUAUUGAUCUUCAACGAGGAAUUCCUAGUAAGUAUGUGUCAUCAUCACGCACUGAUUACGUCCCUGCCCUUUGUACACACCGCCCGUCGCUCCUACCGAUUGGGUGAGCCGAUGAAACUCUCGGAUGUAGGCUAUUCAUAGCCCGCAGAAGAGAUUUGAAUCGUAGCGCUUAGAGGAAGGAGAGGUCGUAACA
rnacentral:rRNA from 1 species